CCAAAUAUUUAUCUAAUGAAAACGACAUUUGGAAAUAACAUUGUUCUAAAAAAUCAAAAUAUACCAAACGUUCAUCACUGUUACUGCAAUGGCAAUCGUUAUUGGGAUGGGCUUAUAGUUUAGGCCUGCAUGGCCCAAUCGUUAUUAAAAAGGAAAUGACGGUUGUACCCUAAACGAGGGUACAUGCAUGGAGACAUAUAAAAACCUUCCCCACCGCAUCUAAUUUACAAUAAUCUAUCAAAACCUGAUUAAAAAAAAAAUACAACGCCGCUUUCGAAACCCUAGCAAAAAGUCUUCUAUCUUCUCGACUUAUCUAAGAUGGAAAGAUCCGGGAUCGAAGGUCUGACCUUGAAAUACAGUCGUACCGUUCCAGUUGAAUCAGAACAACAACGUACUUUGGACGGUGAUACGGAUAAGUUCGUCGAGAACAUGAAGUCCUUGAUGGAUUACCAUGAGAGCCAGAUUAGGAUCAGUGUUGAAGGUUUCAACACCUCGGGUGAUCCUGUUGAGCUCUACACUUCUUUGCAACGUCUCUUCGAAACCUGCGGAGAAGUGGACACAUCGAGAUCAAGAUAGAUCCCGUGACAAAGCAGCUCAUCAGUCCUUGCGUCCUUGUCCUUCGCGGAGAAGGGGCGAAAGAGAGAGCUUUACUUCUCGAUGGAAGUGAAGUUGGAGGAAGGAAGCUCACUCUUUCGCCAAUUGAGCAGCCUACUGAUGGGAUGACUACAUCCGCUCGAGCUGCAAAGUACGUUGCAGACUUCCAAAGGAGCAGAAGCGAAGCCAUAUCCGUUACGGGAUAUGACCCUUCUCUUCCUCAAGAAGAUCUCAAGAGUGCUCUGAGGAAGCACUUCGCUUCCUGUGGCGAAAUCACGGACAUCCUCAUCCUCGACAGCCGCGCCCUCGUCCACCUUUAUGGGCUAGGCUCCGUGCACCGAGCUGUCCAGUUGCAUGGAACCAUCCUCGGAGGGUUCAAGUUGACCGUCGCGCGCGAAGCCUGAAGAAGCCGCUCGGACUAGCCAUGAAACUAUUACUUGUUGUGGUUGAUUUGAAAAAUUUGAAAACUUGGGUAAAAUAAGACUAGUUUAAUAUUGUAUAUGACUGUUAUUACCUUGUUUUGUUUAUUUUAUUAUUACUCUUUUGUGAUUUUAUUAGUAGUCUAAACCCUUUUCCUGUCCUUUUCUUCAAGCAUUUACGUCCCUUCAAUUUGUAUUCAAACAAUGUCCUACUCUUUAGAUUCUUCAUAGCAACAAUCAAUCUUAUUUUUAUAUUGAACGCCUAACGCACUUUUGAAGCAUUAGUAAUAGAUCCAUUUGGUUUAAGGUAACCUAAAACCAUGGCGGCAAUAGAUGGAGCUAAGAGCCAAGAAGAUUGUAAGCUUAAAGACAUGAAACCAGACCUUGGAGAGGAAUGGCCACACGGAGGACAACGUGGAGGAAGUGGAUGGAUCAUCAUCGAACGAGUAGCAGUUGAAGUGUUUGUGCGAGAUAAAGAGAUGGUUACUAUAGGGAAGAUCGUGUUUGAUAUGCAUGAGAUUCCUACUAGAGUUCCUCCUGAUAGUCAGUCCACUUGCACAUCAAUGGUACAAUAUAGACUAGAAGCUCACCGUGGCUAAACCAAGAAGAGGGGCAGUUUGGCUUGGGACGCAAGCUGACAAAGCGUUUCCUGAUGCUUACUCUGUUCAGGGAGAAGGUGUUCAAAGCGUUAGGUCUAAGGUCUAUGUAUCUCCAAAACUGUGGUAUCUAUCUUCGGGUUAAUGUGAUUGAAGCACAAGAUGUUGAGCCUAGUGAUAGGAGCCAACCGCCUCAAGCUUUUGUUAAGGUUCAAGUUGGGAAACAGAUUCUGAAAACCAAAUUAUGCCCUUGCUAACAAGACCAUGAAUCCUAUCUAGUCUUUGUAGCUGCUGAGCCAUUUGAAGAACAGUUCUUCUUGACGGUCGAAAACAAGGUUUCAUCAGCUAAAGAUGAAGUCAUGGGGAGGCUGAUCUCACCGUUGAAUGCGUCUGAGAAAAUAUUAGACCACAGAGCUGUUCAUUCCAAAUGGUAAAAUCUCCAAAAUUUUGGGUUUGGGGCACUGGAAGGAGACAAGAGACACGAGGCUCAAGUUCUCUAGCCGCAUUCACCUGCGAGUUUUUCUUGAAGGAGGGUACCAUAUAAUGGACGAAUCAACUCUUUACAUCAGUGACGUGAGACCCACGGCAAGGCAACUAUGGAAGAACCCUAUAGGUAUCCUUGAAGUAGGUAGCAUGAGUGCUCAAGGGCUUUCACCGAUGAAGACUAAAGACGGUAAAGCGACAACAGAUCCUUACUGUGUUGCUAAGUAUGUGGACAAAUUAAAGUGGGUCAGGACUAGAAUCAUCACUGAGAGCUUUAGCCCUAAAUGGAAUGAGCAGUACAUGUGGGAAGUGUAUGAUCCUUGUACUGUCAUUACACUUGGAGUGUUUGAUAACUGUCAAACAAUGGAGCAAAAGUUGAUUCAAGAAUAGGUAAAGUAAGGAUCAGAUUAUCAACCCUAGAGGCCGAUAGGAACACACACAAUUACCUGAACUAGAAUGUAACACAGCUGGUUAAUAUCUCUAGCGCUUGAAAUAGUUUCACAACAACCUCUUAAUUAGCAUUUCAGUACUAACAUCACUAUAAGACUAUCUCUAUUCAUCUCCAUUAAUCAUAGGACUUCAGAUUAAACAUCUUCAAGGUAGAAGAAUUAGGACCGACAAGCCGCUGCCUUCUUUUAACAAAUCUUGCCUCGUCGUGGAAACAGUCAGUGUUCAGUGUACAUGCACAAGCUACUAGCUACGACACCUAAAAUCUCUUCUUUGCUUUUUGUUUUCAUUAAAAAGGGACAUAAGAUUAAGACAUUGCCAAAACAGACACACUUUCUUUUACAUUAUGCCAAAACCUAAACUUUUCUAGAAAUACUUCGCAAUCACACAACUGGACGAAUUCUUUUUUUCUUAUAAAGUAUUUUUGUAUCCUUUACUAGUUUUCUAAAUACAAGGACAUUUUUUUUAUUAAUAUAAGGACAUGUAUACACACACAGGUUGGCGUUAAACAUAUAAACUCCAUAUACUUCGUCCAACAAAAUCACUAUACUUUGGUGUCUUCUUUUAUGUCUUAUCCAUUAUUACUAUACGUAUACGUUACCGUCUUCUAAUAGAAUUAAAGACCAAAGAUAUUUUAAAUAAAACCGGGGAAGCAAAAAUUUAUGUUAAUUGGAUAAAGUCGUAAGUACUAUAUUCUAUGCACAUGUUAAAAAGUAGUAUUCUAUGCACAAAAAAUUAUAUUUAUUUGUAAGCUCUAUUUUAGUCAUAAUAAUAUAUUUCUUCACGUAAUCCACAGAAUUUGAUAAUGUUCAGUGACUGAAUUCUGGAAUGUGGAUUAAUCUAGUAUAUAUAAGAUAUGAUUUAAUAUGGUGAUCAGUUUUUCAGUAGAAAUCCAAAACUUAGGAUUAUCUAAUGAUCCACAUUGAUUAGUUAAGUUUACGAUAUCAUCAUGACUAAUUUAGACACUUCCUACUAAACGAUGGCUAAUUUUAUAAUUAUCUUAAGUUGUGUGAGGGUGUA